rnacentral:lncRNA from 1 species
GCCCAUAAAGCUUUCUGCUUUCGCAAGUUUGAACCUCUCUUUAAGUGUUAAACUCCAUUGCAAGCUUUGUUUUGUCAUUAUAAGGCUUUAGAGCCUUGCAUGCACGUAAAGUUUGCAACUUUACGUGAUCAACAUGCCUUGGGAAGUUUGAUCUGCAAUAUGGGACCUUAUCAUGGCUUAAAAAGCAUCUGAAUGGAUAAUGGACUGAAGGGACUCGACGAGUUGCAUGGUCAACUCGGCGAGUUCGAUGAAGAUAGUCGUGAACUCGGCGAGUCAAUAGGGUGACCCGACGAUUUAGUUAGGGUUUUCCCGAAUUUUUAGCACGCAUGAACUCGGCUAGUUGCUGGGAAACUCGACGAGUUGGCCAUGGAGUUUACGGCCGCAAACAUUAGGAACUCAACAAGUCACUCAAGUAACUCGACAAGUUGACGAGUUAUGCAAGGAACUCGACGAGUGGCUGGUUGUACUCAGCGAGUUGAGGUCAACAUGGACUGCUGACCUUGACCAUUGACUUGGAAUUUGACCAAGGGUUGACUAGUUAACUUCUGGGAGCAUUUUGGGAAAUUGGAAAUUAUAAGUAUGGUUUUAUGGUGAAUAUAGGCGCUGGAGUUGUGAUAAUGAUCCGAGAGUGGAGCUUAUCAUUUCAGCACAUCAGUUGCGAGGUGAGUUAUCCUCACUUAUACUAAGGGGUCUAAGGCACCAAGGCUGACCCACUGGAUAUGAUAUCCUAGUAGUUGGUAUUAUGUUGAGUAUGAGUUAGUGUUGCAUGUUAGUUGCUAUGUCAGUUAGGUAGAUCUGUAGGACUACCUAUAGUAUUAUGUGAUUAUCUGUAUGUGCAUUAGUUGUGUUAUAUGUCGACAUAUUAUGUGGUAUGGGUUGAGGUGAAACUGCUCCGUGCGGUAACCAACAAACCCAGGAGCAUUCCAGAUACGAGUUGAGGGAGACUAGUACUGUGGGCUUGAUGGCAAUCCAGAUGUGAGUUGUGGGCCCAAAAGAUAAUCUAAACUCACACUAUGGGCCCAGUGGUAAUCCAGUCUGUAAAUCUGUGGACCCAGUACAUGCAAUUAGUUGUAUAUGUGUUAUGUGAAGUGUAUCGGUAUGUUGGCAUUCCAACCCAAUGAUUGAGGGUCUGGGGUAUUCCAUCCCGAUGGAUGAUUGGACCCAUAGUAUGUUGUUUGUUAUUGUAUGUGUAUUGUUGUGUGUGUGGGUAUUUUGGGGGUGACUCACUAAGCUUUCGGGCUUACAAUUUCAGUUUAUUGUUUCAGGUUCAGCGGAUGACCGCAGGAAGGCAAAGGCAUGACCGUACACUUCCUCGAUUGAUGAUUUUGAUUUCUGGGAACUCUGAUGUUUAAACUAUUUUGAAAGCAAAAUGUAAUAACUAAAUGGUUUUAAAUGAUUUAAAAAGUUUUAAAUUAGCUCAAAUUUUAUGGAUGUUACACUUACAACAUUCUCAAUAAUGACCAAAUUUCCCUUUUGGUCAAUCUUUGACUAAAAGUCAAAUAUCUAUAAAUUUAAGAUAAAAAGCUGAAUUGGAUCAGAGAACGGUGAAGCUUUUUGAUGAAGACGAAGUUGAAAAGGGGAUCGAUGGAGAUAAAGAUGGGAUCGUCGGAGAUUCAAGUGGGGGUCGGAACUUGGAUUUCUGUACCUAAAGAGAAGGAGAAGAGUGUCUGGAAGUGGUUUGGUCCAGUGAUAGAGAAUGGAGAAAGGGGUAUAUAUUUUCUCUAAUCUUGGUUCAUAUAUGCAGAGGUGAAAUGAAGGUGAGGGACAGUUUGAGUGCAACCCAUAAGUUCACUCCUAACAUCUUUCCUAAGCCCUCAAAUAUGUAAGUAGGGUAUUUUAUGAAGAACGGAGCACAGUUCAUGGUGGAAAAUAGUGGAGGCGGAGUUCUUCUAGAGAGAUUAUGAGAGAAAGAGAGGGCCCACUUCAUUUUUUUAAAUGUUAUAACUAAUUAAAAAAAUUAAAAAUUAAAAAUAAAUUAAACAAGGACAACAUAGUCUUUUCGUGUCUCACAAGGGAUGAAUUGUACAAAUUUAAACUAACAAGGGAUACAACGUGCAACUUUUAAUCAAAAAGGGGACAGUCCAAGUUAAUUUUUCAAAAUAGGGACUGAACAUGCAUUUUGACACAUGUACGAGGGACGAUCGGUGUAAUUUACCCUAGUUUUUAUUUUGUACAUAGUCUUUUUUUUUUUGUAAAAUAUGCCCUUCAACCCGUUCUUUUUGUACAUACUUAGUCUUAUGAUCAGCUACUCCAUCUUAAGUUCCUAGUUUGUACACAUUUAGCUCUUAAUGUUUUUUUUUUGCAAAAUAAGUCCUUGUUGUUUUUGUAGACAUUCAGUCUGUAUGAGCUGUUUCUUCAGGUUUUGCUCACAUGACAUUCUAUGUGAGACUAUCAUUAAUGAAGUGUUCUCACACGUGGCUCAUUUGGAUAAUGGAAUAAUAUGUCGAUUCUCGUGGUUUUGAUAAUAACAUUUUAGUUUUGAUAUUAGUAACUGUUAUGGUACAAUACCAACUACAUUUAAUACCAAUACCAACUUCAUUCAAUACCAAUCCAACUACAUUAUAUUAGAUAAAGAAAAUACAUUAUCCAUAAUGAUUCCAAUACCAAUACCACUAAAUUUUGAUUCAUUACAGAAGAUUACAAGUUAUUUUAACCCUAUCAUCACGUGAAUUCUUCUUCAGCUCAUUCACUUCUUUCUUGAGGCAGGAAACCUCCCCUUUAACAACUGUAAGCUCAUCUUUAAAAUUCGGGGUCAAUUUGACAUGUUCUUCAUCAACCUAUUUCCAACAUUUUCACUUUUUACCUAGUUUCUUUAGUAACAAAAAAAAUUUUAAGCAUGUAAUAAAGAAUGUCAAUUUGAAAAGAACAAAAAACUCAUUUAGGGAAAAAUGGUCAAAAUCGACAUACCAAGGAAUUAGGGAUCACUCUAAACCUUUUGUCAGGGUGUUCUUUUGUCUUCGAAGUGUAAAUCUUAUUUGGGAUGAAGAAAUCACAAAGAAUCUCGUUGUUUGCUAUGAAGAUAGAUGAAAUCGAUGUCGAAUACCUAUUCUUCUUGGAUAAAACUAGGGAACCAACAUUAUUUGACCGAUUCGUGAAUUAGGUUAUUGAUAUAAGUGAGAGACGAACCAUAUAUGAAAACACAUUGUUAAUGAUUGUACCACACAUGAUGUCAUGUGAGUAAAACCUGAAGAAACGAUCAUAAAGAUUGAAUGUGUACUGUUAGACCGGUUAUCGCACCCGAUUUAAACAAAUAAAAUUAAUAUGGGCUUAUUUAGUCAUAAAAAUCAUUCGUUAUUUUAUUAAUUAUUAUUGAUUUUAUAUCAAUUUAUGGACAAAAGAUACUUAAUAUUGUUCAAAUUAUACUUUCAGUUCAAAAGAGAAGCUCGGAAGCAAAAGGAAGCAGGAGAUACGAAGGAAAGCUCGGGAACGGAACAAAGAAGAAAAAUGCCAAAAACAAGAAGGACUCGUCGAGUAGGGACGUAUACUCUUCGCGAUACUCUAGAAGUCCUUGCCGUACACGGAUUUUAAGUGACGAACUCGUCGAGUCGGUCAUUGGACUCGACGAGUCACCUCUGUUUCCAGAAUACUAUAAAUAGGGAUUUGGAGAUCAAAAUUAGGGACUUCUCUAGAACCCUAGGAGGCCAAAUUACGAUUGAAGGUGUUGUUAGGUCGUGAGAAGUAGAGGAAUCAACCCUACAUUCAAUCUUGAAGAGAAUUAAGGUAACUUUAGUUUAUUCUUAGUAAUCUUUUGAUUUGAACCAUUUUUAAACUCUUUAAAUUCGUUUUUUAGCUUAAGUUUACUGCAAUUAUGAACUAAACCCUUAUUCUUCUGUUUAGGGUAGAUGAUUUUGUGAACAUGGUUUGAUUUUAUGGUUAGGAUUAAUUUUAAUUGGUGAUUAUGUUUUGUUAAGCUUGUUAAAGAACCUUUUAUGUUAAUAAUAACUAAUCUUCUGUUAAUAAAUCAGUAAUUAAGUUGUAUGAACAUCUUUUAGUUAUUAAUUUCAUAUGAUUUACGUGACCACAUAAUUGUAUGUCUAGGAAUAACGAACGUGAAACUAGAAUUAACUAGAAGAUAGGUAAGUUAAUGUGUGAGCUUGCAUGACGAACCAUCAGCAAGAGGUUAAUUGAAUGACCAAGUUAAUUAACCACUACAAGUCUUACUUAACCCGAAUCAAUAUCUAGGAAAUUCAUUAAUUUAGACAACUGGCCAUUGCUUGAAUUAAUCUGUUUUUUAAGGAUUAGUAAUAACGAAUGUGAACCCAAUCACCUCAAUCGGUAACCAAUGAAGAAUUAAUCCGAAACAUUCACUAUAAAAUCAUCCAUGGGAUCAAAUGAGUCGAACCUAAACAGAAGUCCUCUUAAUUAUGGAAUUUAGUGGUAAUAACUUGUCUUAGCUGCUAGUUAGUUAAAUUGCGUGUUAGUUAGUUUAUUUAAGUUUUCUAGUCUUGCAAAACUAGAGAAAACCUUUCCUUUUAUUACUUGUUUUUUAGAUAAUAUUAGCUAUUAGUUUAAAUUUUUCAUUCCCUGAGUUCGAUACCCUACUUAUUUAGCUACACCACAAUUGAUAGGUCCACUGCCUUUGUGUGUUAAUUUUAUAAUUAAAAGUAGGUUUAAAACUAGUUGAGUUCACACACAUCAUUUAUCACUACUGGUUGCACUAAAUAUAUAGUACAAGGAAGUAGAGUCGAAUCCUUAGGGACACAACCUAAAAGUCAAUGCAUUUUUGCAUCAGACACAUCUAGUCAAGAAACGGAAUAUAAAAGGGGGGUUUUAAUUAUAAACUAAAAACUAAAAAUGCAGUGAUAUUAAAUUAAAUGAAAAUCAAUAAUAAAAAUGGUUUCAGCUAUGCUGCGAAUUUCCUAAUCAUCCAACUAAUACAUAUCUAAUUAUUUGAGAUGCUUUCUAUUUAAGCUAGUACUGAGAAUAACUAACAAACUCUAGUAAUUUCUCUUUUACCUAAAUUAAUUAAUCAAAACAAGCUCUUUGAAUUAACCUUAACUUUUUAUUGUUCAAUUAAACAAGCUCUUAAUUAAAUCAGAAAAAUUGCAUUAAGUUCUAUGUAAAAUUCCUAGCAAUACCCAAUACUUCUCACAAGCUCGGAAGUGUAAAUGUAUGAUUUUUCAGUUUAUAAUAAAAUCAAAUCCCAAACAAUGAACCGAUUUAUUACUUGUUACUUAUUACCAAUUAAUUAGAACAAUUACAGAUUCUAUUAACUGAUUAACUAGAAUGAUAAAACCCUAGCUAGGUGAUCAGACUAACAAGAAUUAAAAUCAAAUAUUCAUUAAGAACAAAAAUGAAAAAUCUAGAUCGAAACACAAAUCAAAAAUCAGAUCUAAUGAUCAGUACCCGUCUAAUGUAGAACUGAAAACUAGGGUUUUAGCCAGACAUGGCUAAAAAUGAUAAAAACUACUAGAAUUAAACAUCAAAUAACUAAUCUUACUAAUCUAAUUGAAGGAGAUGAUCCACAGUCUUCAGAUCUUUAGAAAUUGCUGAAAUCAGAGAAGAAACACCUCCAAAAUCGUCUUUUUCGUCAUCUGGAGCCUUAGGAGUCGACUAGGGUAUCAAAAAUCUCUUUACUGGAAUGUUAUAUGGGUCUAUUUAUAUGCCCAAUAGCAAAAACGACAAUACAUACGAUCGCAUAGGGCUAGGUUGCGAUCACAUCUUUGAAGAAAACGCGUCUCGAGCCUUUUUAAUGAAGUAAGAUGCUAUUCUGUUUUUUUUUUUUGGCAAAGUUGCGAUCACAUAGAGGGAAAUUGCAAUCGCAUGUACAUAGGUUGCGAUCACAUGUUUUGAGUUUUUACUUCAGAUGACUUCCAGACGACUUAUUUUGACCCUAGGAAGCUUCGUGGCAAACAUGCGAUCGCAGGAAAAACAUGCGAUCAUACAUGCGAUUGCAUUUUUGGGCCAUGAAAUCGCAAAUUUUUCCUUUUUCACGAACUCGAAAGUUAUCCCUAAUUGUGUCUAAUUUUCAGAACAUCUUGAAUCUCGUUAAUCGGAGUUACGGUUAAUGAGGUAUGGUCAAAAUACUAACAGGGGGUCUAAAUUACCAACAACAUCCUGUAGCUUCAAAUUGCAGAUUCUAUCUUCGUAUGGUUAAUUCGAUCGAAUGCUUCUUGACCAAAUAAUCUUUCAAGCAUUCAUCAACAUACUUAUUCAGUUCUAACUCCAUUUAGGCUCCAAAUAUGCAUCCAGCUGCUCCCAAAGCACUACUCCACUCGAACUAUCUGAAACUGACAUAAAAAAUAUGAACAGUACGAGACUUCUAAUAAAAUACAUGAGCUGAACAUUAUUUGAAUAAAUAACAUGUAAAUCUGAAAAAUAUAAUGCUAAAUAAUAAUAAAAACUAUCCUAAAAGAUGCAUAAAAUGACUUCCAACAUGUACAAAAAUAACAAUAAUUUAUUUUACCAAAACAAAAACAUUAAUGAAUAAAUGUGGAUAAUUGGAAAGUUAAUUUGAAAUAGCCGAUAAUAAGGACUGACGUUUUAUAAAACGAAUAAAUAACAUGUAAAUCUGAAAAAUAUAAUGCUAAAUAAUAAUAAAAACUAUCCUAAAAGAUGCAUAAAAUGACUUCCAACAUGUACAAAAAUAACAAUAAUUUAUUUUACCAAAACAAAAACAUUAAUGAAUAAAUGUGGAUAAUUGGAAAGUUAAUUUGAAAUAGCCGAUAAUAAGGACUGACGUUUUAUAAAACAAUAAAUUGAAGAAUGUAUUUUGNNNNNNNNNNNNNNNNNNNNNNNNNNNNNNNNNNNNNNNNNNNNNNNNNNNNNNNNNNNNNNNNNNNNNNNNNNNNNNNNNNNNNNNNNNNNNNNNNNNNNNNNNNNNNNNNNNNNNNNNNNNNNNNNNNNNNNNNNNNNNNNNNNNNNNNNNNNNNNNNNNNNNNNNNNNNNNNNNNNNNNNNNNNNNNNNNNNNNNNNNNNNNNNNNNNNNNNNNNNNNNNNNNNNNNNNNNNNNNNNNNNNNNNNGAUCGUUUUCCUUAAUUACUUGUAAAUUUUCUAAAAAAAAUAAAAAUAAAAAUAUAUAUAAUAUGUUAAAAUCUUGAAGUUUUUUUUUUCUAAAAAAACAGAAUAUUAAAUACAUUCUGAAACCAUUGGAAAAUUAGUUUCUGACAAGAGACAUGAUCUAAAUUGUCGUUGCCUUGUAUCUUCUUCUCAAUUCUCAUAGCCAUCCAUAUGACUUAAAACACAGCAUGACCCUUACCAAUAUCCAAAAGGCAUCCGCACCCACCUCCUCCUCCACCAGUCCACCCUACAAAAAUGGCCACACUUCUCUCUCAUCUUCCUUCAACAUCACCGCCUUCCCCUCUUCUCAUCAUUUUCCGGCGACAUGUCAGCUUUCUCUGUAAAAUUCCUCGCACCCAAUUCAUUUCUCAGUCCGAUAACCAAUAUCAGUGCCACCAGGCUCUAUGCAAACCCAUCUCAAACCGCCGUGCCAGCUCCUCCUCAGGCGCCGGAGGAGAUCACGGCUGAAAGACUGGAACCCAGAGUCGAAAAGAAAGGCGGGUAUUUUGUUCUGAAAGAGAAGUUCCGGCAAGGUAUUAAUCCACAAGAAAAGGUGAAAAUUGCUNNNNN